rnacentral:rRNA from 1 species
AGUCGAGCGAGCUUGCCUAGAUGAUUUUAGUGCUUGCACUAAAUGAAACUAGAUACAAGCGAGCGGCGGACGGGUGAGUAACACGUGGGUAACCUGCCCAAGAGACUGGGAUAACACCUGGAAACAGAUGCUAAUACCGGAUAACAACACUAGACGCAUGUCUAGAGUUUGAAAGAUGGUUCUGCUAUCACUCUUGGAUGGACCUGCGGUGCAUUAGCUAGUUGGUAAGGUAACGGCUUACCAAGGCAAUGAUGCAUAGCCGAGUUGAGAGACUGAUCGGCCACAUUGGGACUGAGACACGGCCCAAACUCCUACGGGAGGCAGCAGUAGGGAAUCUUCCACAAUGGACGAAAGUCUGAUGGAGCAACGCCGCGUGAGUGAAGAAGGGUUUCGGCUCGUAAAGCUCUGUUGGUAGUGAAGAAAGAUAGAGGUAGUAACUGGCCUUUAUUUGACGGUAAUUACUUAGAAAGUCACGGCUAACUACGUGCCAGCAGCCGCGGUAAUACGUAGGUGGCAAGCGUUGUCCGGAUUUAUUGGGCGUAAAGCGAGUGCAGGCGGUUCAAUAAGUCUGAUGUGAAAGCCUUCGGCUCAACCGGAGAAUUGCAUCAGAAACUGUUGAACUUGAGUGCAGAAGAGGAGAGUGGAACUCCAUGUGUAGCGGUGGAAUGCGUAGAUAUAUGGAAGAACACCAGUGGCGAAGGCGGCUCUCUGGUCUGCAACUGACGCUGAGGCUCGAAAGCAUGGGUAGCGAACAGGAUUAGAUACCCUGGUAGUCCAUGCCGUAAA